UUGAGCGGUUUUGGAUUUAAAAUAGAUUUUUCUAUAUGAAUUAUAAAAUAUUUUUUCAGUGAUUCAGGUUAGUUAUACUUACAACAUCUUUUAUUACUCUUUCGUGUAUUUAAAAGAUGAAAAAAGAUGAGUAGGAAAAAUACUAGCCGUCGAUUUGUUGAGGUGGAGAGAUGAGAUGAAGUCAGGUGGAGUUGUUGACCAUGGAAGUGGAUAUGGUGACAUACUGACAUUGUCAAAAA
rnacentral:lncRNA from 1 species